UACGUAGGGGGCAAGCGUUGUCCGGAUUUAUUGGGCGUAAAGAGCGUGUAGGCGGCCAUACAGGUCAGCUGUGAAAACUCGAGGCUCAACCUCGAGACGUCGGUUGAAACCGUAUGGCUAGAGUCCGGAAGAGGAGAAUGGAAUUCCCGGUGUAGCGGUGAAAUGCGCAGAUAUCGGGAAGAACACCCGUGGCGAAGGCGGUUCUCUGGGACGGUACUGACGCUGAGACGCGAAAGCGUGGGGAGCGAACAGG
rnacentral:rRNA from 1 species